rnacentral:rRNA from 1 species
GAUGAACGCUGGCGGCGUGCCUAAUACAUGCAAGUCGAGCGAACAGAUGAGGAGCUUGCUCCUCUGACGUUAGCGGCGGACGGGUGAGUAACACGUGGAUAACCUACCUAUAAGACUGGGAUAACUUCGGGAAACCGGAGCUAAUACCGGAUAAUAUAUCGAACCGCAUGGUUCAAUAGUGAAAGACGGUUUUGCUGUCACUUAUAGAUGGAUCCGCGCCGCAUUAGCUAGUUGGUAAGGUAACGGCUUACCAAGGCGACGAUGCGUAGCCGACCUGAGAGGGUGAUCGGCCACACUGGAACUGAGACACGGUCCAGACUCCUACGGGAGGCAGCAGUAGGGAAUCUUCCGCAAUGGGCGAAAGCCUGACGGAGCAACGCCGCGUGAGUGAUGAAGGUCUUCGGAUCGUAAAACUCUGUUAUUAGGGAAGAACAAAUGUGUAAGUAACUGUGCACGUCUUGACGGUACCUAAUCAGAAAGCCACGGCUAACUACGUG